rnacentral:rRNA from 1 species
AUUGAACGCUGGCGGCAGGCCUAACACAUGCAAGUCGAACGCGAAAGUUCCUUCGGGAGCGAGUAGCGUGGCGGACGGGUGAGUAACGCGCAGGAAUCUGCCCUGUAGUGGGGGAUAACCCGGGGAAACUCGGGCUAAUACCGCAUACGCCCCAAGGGGGAAAGCGGGGGAUCCUUCGGGACCUCGCGCUAUAGGAAGAGCCUGCGUCGGAUUAGCUAGUUGGUAGGGUAAAGGCCUACCAAGGCGACGAUCCGUAGCUGGUCUGAGAGGAUGAUCAGCCACACCGGAACUGAGACACGGUCCGGACUCCUACGGGAGGCAGCAGUGGGGAAUAUUGCGCAAUGGGCGAAAGCCUGACGCAGCCAUGCCGCGUGUGUGAAGAAGGCCU